GAGCAGGAGGAGCUGGACGAGGAGCUGGACGAGGAGGAGGAGGAGGCGGACGAGUCGGAGGGCAGCCCCGGCAGAUAACACAAGUCUGCUGGAACGGGCAGUUUCUGCACAGUUGAAUGAGCGCUUUGUCUGGGAACAAUAUGGAUGCAGAUUUUUAUUCUUCUAAUGGAAGAAAGUUACUUCAGCCCAACUCCUCCUGUGCUGCCAGCACCACUUUCACACAGCCCAAAGGAAGCAACACCUAUCCCCGCUCUCUGUUUACAUAACUGACACAUCCAAAGCAGAAUGUCUGCAGCAAGAUGUCCCAUACCAGGCACAGAGCUAGCAAGAGACAGAAAAACAGGAUAUAAAAGCAGCUGCUUGACUUAAGUAUUAUCAUGGAGGUGAACCCUGAAGACAACUUUGCAACAAUUCACCAGGAGUUUUUACUCAGACAUGGCAACCAAAGAAAAAGCAGUUGGAAUUUUGUCAGUCAAGACAUUUUGGAGAUACCCAUGGGGAAAUCAUCAGGAAGCAAACAUGGAAAAGCUAGCAAUAGAAGUGCUGCUUAAAAUACAGACCUUAAAAUUCAUAUAUGAUUCAUAUCAGAUGCUUAAAAUUCAUAUACCUCUCCCAAACUUGGACUUGCCUUCCUUGAAGAUGUACCAUAUUUAAAUUAUAUUUUAAGAAUCAAGGAAAUAUGUGAAAAACAAGCUCACCAUGACAGAAAAGGUGCAACCUUAACUGUGAAGCAGCUACAAGAGUUCCAGUUGCCAACUAUGCCACAGCAUUUCUCCAAACCUUUUUUAAAUGGCACAAAUAGUAGAAAACACUACAGAUUUUAUUAAAAAGUAACAAAUAUUGUACAUAUGCCUGCUUUAUCUACAAAAUGUUUACAAUCAGAGGCAAAGGAAGAGUGAAGGCUAAACAUUCAUAAAUGGUACAGCUAAUGGAAACCUGAGCUAUUAAUUUUCAGUGCUAUACGGAUGGUAAGAGUCACGGGCACAAAUGGAUUUCCAAAAAACCACCGUAAAAGACAUUUAGUUUUCUGUCUCUGAGCUUAAUAAACACAUGGAAAUACUUUCCAUGCAUGUUAGUUAAGGUGGUCAUAAUAUGCAUGAAUACUAAAAGGUGGCCCAGGGAUGGGAGAGGAACCAAGGAUGAACCGUCUGAUGGUGUUCAUUAUAUAAGGUAUCACUACCAUCUCAGAAUAAAGGAUUUAAAAACCCUCUAAAGAUAUAGAGCAUUUUCCAAAAACACCUUCUGAACAUCAGCAUCUUGUUUUGAGAUUAUUCCAACAGCAGUAGCUUCUAUCAUCCACUCACUUCUGGGGAGAAGGGCAACUGCACAGUGCAGUAUAUAAAAAUACACGACCUCUUUGUUGUUAUAUGCUGCCAGAUAAUUACCAGAACUGCACAGCAGGCUUAAUGGUAGAAUUAUUUGGUUGUGUUUAAGUAUUGUGGGUUUUAACAUUGGCAGAAAUGCUCAAAGCCUCCAAUCAGCACAACUUUAAGUCAUAAGCAGUAAUUGUAAAUUAACAUUCUGAAUGUUAUUUGGUGACCCCAUAAAUUCCUCAGCACUGUAAUACUUUCUUCAGUGCACUGAGCCUUGACCUAAUGACUACCCUCUAGUGAGCCAAGAGCGGAGUUUAUGUUUGUAGGCACUGAACUUUAAGGAGUCUUUGAACAAAAGCCGUAAGGCAGAUACGUAAUACAUCUGACAAUCCACUGGGGAACUCAACAAAAACAUUAAUACUUUAGCCAGCCAUGCAGCUUUAGGCUUCAGAAAAUAAAAGAAAAUGCCCUAAUUAUUAAACCAUCCAUUCUCUCCAACAAUUUUAUAUCACAGACUGAAUAAACAUUUUGGCUAGUUCAGUAAUGACAUAUAUACAUGUGUAUAUAUGUAUCUAGGAAAGGAAGAGUUAAUGGACAUAGCAGAUGAUGGAGAGUUUUACCAGCCUUCCUAGAAUACGACGGCUGGUAGGCCCUUGACAGCAGCAGCUGCAGGCUCGCUCACAGCCUGCUCCCAGCUCAGCUGUCAUAUUACAUAUUGGGACACAAGGAACCUCUCUUAGCCUAGCAGCUGUCUCCCUUAAUGGAUUGCCCAGUUCACUGCUUCCAGACAUCAUCAAUUUCUCCCUGCUCAAAUCCUCUUUGCACACUUUCGUGCGGCUUCUAGUUCAAGCCUGCCCUGGGGACAGAGGAAUGGUCAAAUUCCAGACUACCUUUGCACAGGCAAGAAACAGCAUCGUUUUGUUCUCACAUUCAGGCUGGAAACCAGAUAAUCCUAUAAGUGAGCUGCACCAGUCACAGUGUGAAGCAUUCAGAGAAAGCAGUUAUAAUUUCACAACUAACUUCAAAAUAAAUAUGGUAAAUGUGCCUAAGUCAAAGGCUCCUCUUUGAAGGAUACUGCAGAUAGCCAUCUUCCUAAACAGAUUUUUACUUCCUUUAGUGGAAGCAAAAUACCUCGGAUAAGUAGCGAGAUGUGUCUCUUAGUGAACUCGUAUUCAAAAGUGAGGCUCUUAUCUUUGCAAUCUUCUCACUGCGAUAGGAGUGGGGUAAGCAAAGCCAAGGUUAGAUACUGUUCAGCUAACAAUAGAAGCAUGUGGUGCCUUUCAGAGCAUGAAUGCCAGUUUUUUACUGCAGGUGCUCUUGUGGUGUGGCCACAGGAGGAAAGCGAUAACUGACAUCCUUUUCCAUUCAAUUUACAGUCAAAAGAGUGUUUGUAAUUUAGUAGUUGACUGGCUGAAGCUCAGCCCAUAUGGUAGCUGUUGUUCAGCAAAGGGAUAAAAAAACAAAAGUACAGUACUUAAACCGGAAAGAACAGGCAGUCUGUGCAUCAGCUCAAAGCUUCAAGGGGGUUCUGGCCCACUUUCAUUCAUAUUUAAAUGUACACAUUCACACUGGGGAUAGGGACACCAAGCCAUAUUUCCUAAUAUUGCAAAUUACUGCCUUACUUUGUCUUGAGCGUUACAUACAAAAAGGAAAAAAAAGUGAAUGCAGAUUUGCAUCAGUGUCCCAUGAGGAAUGCUGAAGGUUAGAAGCAAAACCAGCUGGAAAAUACAUAAAGAGCACAACACAGACUACAGUCUGUUUCUUUUUUGAGAAUAUUUCCCUCCCAUUUGCCUUCUGAUCAGCAGCUCUAAAAGACCCAGAAAUCGCUGUCUACAGCACGUAAUUCCGUACAGAAAGAAAACAAACACAAACUGCACAGAUCUUUUUGAAUACCUCUAUGAGGUGAAAUGUAAUUCUGAAUAGAAAAGUCUGGAUUUAUGAGGGGAAAAAUCACCGUUUUUUCUUUUCAGCCUUUUCAGGAAAGGAUAGACCGUUAUCAAUGUUUCCUUAAGUGGAGUUUAAAAUGGCAAAUACCUCCCAUGGACUCUUAUGGAAAAAACAAUAUUUUGAACAAGAAACUGAAGGAAUGACAGUCAAACAAAAAGGGUAGAAUAAUGAUUUCAGGUUAGUUUGGGGGGAAGUACAACAAAAUAAAUGCAUGCUCAAUACAGUGCGGACCAACUGCUUGCAAAGAACAUGCAAUCUCGCUGGUCUUUUGACUUCUAUUCUACAGCUACGGCGCUUCCCAAGAAAACAAGGAAUAAAGGAAAAUGGGCAAAGAGAAAAAACAGUGAUCUAGAAGGAGGGAAAGGAAAAGGGGACAAAGCUGAUCUUUUUAACACUUGGAUUUCACUACUGUCCAGUCAAGUUUUUUAAACCAUUUAUGGUAUCACUGGGGACCUGGAACUGAAUCAUGACUCAAAGUGGAGAUUUGGUUAUUAAAACUGUGAGUAGCAAUCACAAGUGCAGGGCUUGUGAAAUUAUGCUUUUCCUGUGCAAACAAAUCCCAGAGAUAUGGAAAUUGUAUUUGCACAUCACUGUACACAUAACCAGUUACUGCAAAGCCGCUUCAAUUCUCAUCCAUUUUUCCUUUAAUUUAGGAUAGGACACAGAGCACAUUAAUAAGCCAAAAAGGACAUGUGACAGCCUGAAAUGAAAUAAAAAAUGGUCAAAAAUAAUUUCUGCAGUCUUCCAACUAGUUCCCAAACUGUCCAGUGUGAGCACCUUGCAAUCCUGUCGUCUUAGAAACAGUUUUCUCUUCUCUUCCUCUUGCAUGUGAAAAGCCAUACAAAUGUAACAGGAAACUGUCUGAAUAUGAAGGAGAAAGAGUGAAAGUGACUGUACACAAAUUGCUUUCAGACACACAAGCGAUCUGAAAACACUGGUUUGAUUUGGUUGAUUUUAAUGCCAUUAUGAGAGGCAUUAAUUACAAAUUAAUACCAAUAACACAGAAGACCCAUAUCGCCCAAAAGGUAAAACGCACACAAGCCAACACAGGGAAGGACCAACACAGGGAAGAGGCUUUCUUUGCUUCAACCCAGUAACAGGCUGUGGCAAGAAUACUAAGUUCUUCAGACUCAGAAAAACUGCAGCUCAUCACCCCUUGCAACACCUUGGAGGACAAUGUGAAAGUAUUCACUAGAGAAACCGAUAGGCACCAUUCAGAGGUAUUUUCAAAGAACCAUUUGCAAGAAACUCCACUGAAAAUGUGUUAAAUGAGAAAAUUGUCUCCGUUGGGUCACAUAAAACUGGCCUUUUCUGUAAGGGCUGUUUGUGUAGGUAAACCAUACAUUCUGAUUUUUUGCAAUGUUUCAGAAAUUUAAAAGUUGGUAAUCAUGGAAGAGUUUCUCUUUGCUGUUGUGUUUCAGGCUAAUUAAUAAAGCUAUUUAGAUCACAGAAUUAAAAGAAAACACCGAAGUUACAGCUCAGCUACAUGUGCAUACUAUAUGGGUUGGCACAUAAUGGACAUGUUAGGAACAUUAAAUGGGGCUAUGUGUAUCCCAAUUUACUACUUUUAAAAUAUUGUUUUGAGCAGCUGGAAGUUAGUUGCACAUCUCACAAUAUUAAUAAGCAUGUUGUUAUUCCAUACUGUAUUUCUACAGAUUUUAUUAGCAAGGCCAGGAGUCAACAUUAGUGAUUUAUAGUCCAUAAAAAGUAUGAUGUAAUUGAAAUGUGAAGAAGGUCAGAAUCCCCAAAGACAAAUUACCUUAACAAUAGAGUGAGAUCAUUCCAUAUACUUGUCCGCUCCAAGGGGCAAUAAUCAAACAGACCUACAUGUAAAGUCUAUGCUGAGCAUUAGAUAAAAGCUACAGAGGCAGCACUUUUUCCAAUGUAAUACAGUACAGUGCCGUAGAUUUUGCUCUGAGCUUCACUCAUGAAAAAGCUUACUCUGAAUGUGUCCCAAUCCCAUUUAUUUUUGCCAAAAAUUUACAAAGAAAAUGUUAUAAACAUAUGUAAGCUUGAAUAAGAAGAUCUGGUUCCAUUUCAAAUAGAAGCACCAAUACCUACAUGGAACAAAAUAAUGGGGCUCAUUAAAAAAAGAAGAGUUUGCCUUUGAACCUUCGUGUAAGGUUUAAUAUACAGCUUUUCCCUGCACUAAAAUUCUACAGGCUGGUUAAGAUCCAAAUCUGCAUAAAGAAUAAAAUCUCCUAUUGAUUUUCAUAGGUUGUCAACCAGAAUAGAUAAGUUUAACUUCUUUGAUUUAAAAGAGCUACAACACUAGCUAACUAAUGUUAGCUACCAAGACAACAGAAUUACACAAGUUUACAAAACCUGAGGAAAGAUCCACAUUUUUAUUACUGCUCAAGUAAUUUCUACAGGAUCUUACUGGUUGUAUCUCAGUUACCUCCUGGAACAUUUUCCUAUGGGCAUGGGGGGUGGAGGUUGCUGUGUUGUGGUAAAAAGAAAAACUGUCUCUACAGAACAGGGAGUCGUGCUAAUCAUCUCCAGCAGGAAUGAGCAGCUCAUCAACAAAUUCAAAAAUUAAGACAGUUUUUAAAAACGAUGAAUUAAUUUAUAAUACAAGGUCUCCUCUUACUUAGAAGUGAUAAGUGUUGAACUGUUAGCUUGCCUCUUUCAUCUCAAAGAAAUAUAAGUUGCCAAAGUUCAGUGCUUCUGAAGUGAAAAAGAAGUCCUACAUAGUCCGUUUAAUGAAGAAUUGCAAUUGUGCUCCUGCAUGAGCUAACUAGCUUCCUGGAUGUGGGUGUUUCUAAGAGGAUAUCAAAACACAUUUACAUGAAAACAGAUCAUUGCUUCCACUGAAUGAUUUAAAUGCAUCUUACAGCUGUGGAGAAGGAUUUUCCCAGUAUUCAAAACAUCCUUCUUAAGAAAAGGAAUUAUUAACUUAUUACUUUCUUUUUAUAUACAUCAAUAAAAUUAGACCCACUUCUGAACCCCCAUAUUCUCUUAGCAGCAACUCUCAUCCUCCUUCCAUUUGCCCUGUACCAGAACUCUCACACUUUUGCCUGACAAGCAUUUUGUGGCACAUUCUGAGUCUACACCAAAUGCUCCUCCAGGUGGUAGACAUACUUCGCAGCUAUUCCCACCUGAUGCUAUCACAAUAUCCAGGAACAGGCUACAGAGUUUCUACAAUCAGGUCUUUCCAUUACUAUUUAAUACUGGUGUGCUGGAAGGCCAACCAUCAUGAUGAAAGAGACCCCUCUAAAAAAUACGUUGCCUCUGGGUAUUCUGGGUAUUCCUUCUAGAAGGCUAGGAUAAUUUUGUUGUUGUUGUUUUAAAAGACCAAGUGAACAAAACCAAAGGCUGUUCCUUUAGCAUGAAGUGCUGAGCGAGGAAACGAAGUUCUGGACUUAUUUCAUGAGGUAGUUAAAAGUUUGCUCACUUUGUAGAUCAUCUGUGUGGGUGAAGGUGAAUGAUGCAGCUCUAUCUGUUGAUCUCGGGAAUGUGGUCCAUUAAAGAACCAUCCUGCCCUGAGGGACCAAACAGGGUGUCUUCGUGGAAGGCUGUAUGAAUUAAUGCUGCAUAAAGUGGUGAUGACUUAUGAUUAGACAUUACAAUACAUCCCUGAGCAAUCAGCAUAGAAAAAAACACCCCAGAUUUUGCCACCAAUUCCUCCUCUGUUACACAAGCCACAAAUCAUUCAUUUCACUUCCCACAUGCAUACAUUUAGCUUUUUAAAAAACAUUGUAUAGCAAAUUAUGUAGUGUUCAAAAAGACAUUUGCCAGGGCCAAAGGAAAAGAGAGAACACGUUUUUUGACAACUUGAUGAGUUCCUGGGAUGUUCUGCCCUAGUUCUAUACACCAAGAGAAAAGCAGCAUGCUCUUUGGGAGCGUCAUUAUAAGCCAGCGAUACGUAUCAUCAUCAAGAAGUUUGAUAUAGCAGCAUCAGAAAAGGAAAUAUGGCGUAAUAGGGGAGGCCCCUAUCUUUGCCCUGAAACACUGAAAAUGCAUCUAUGAUUCAAAAGAUUUGUUUAAAUCCACAGAGUAAAAGGGAUGCAAAAUAAACAAACUCUCCUUACUUUGCUAUAAUUCUGAAAAAAAAUUUUUUGAGGAUAACAAAACAAAACCAGCAUAGCUUAAAGUCAUGGAAAAUAUCCUUUGAUUUGGAAAUUAACAAAAGUUGCAGAAUUUCAAUCUCUAAGUAUCAGGAAAUCACUAUUUCUGCAAGCCUCCUCUGUAACAACUCCAUAAACCUUUCCAAAAGAAUAUUUGUUAUAGGCAAAAGGCCUUUGAACCUACCAAAUUCUUAUUUUCUCUUCUCUAAUGUUACCUCUGGUUGCACAACUUUCGAAAGUGAAGUUUGCUCAUUUAUCCAGUAAUCAUCUUUCUCUC